GGGCAGAUGGAGACACCCAGGAGAAAGAAGAGGGCGAAUUGGAAGAGGCCACCCAGAAAGGACGGUGUGUGACACUAGGGAGCCAAGCAUGGAGAGCCGAGGACUAACGCUUGGAAGGAAAUGUGGACCAGAAGGUUCCGGAUGAGGGAAGGACUGGCGGCUACACUCUGCCUUCCGAGACAACGAGGAAUAAUCUCACUUCAGUCAGUUCAACCCUUGUAAAACAGCUACUGUGUGCAAGACACGGAGGGAAAGCUGAAGUAGAGAAACCACAGACGCUGUCUUCAAAGGGUUUAAUCUAAUAUUAGUGAUGAGAAAAAUAGGGUGCAGAGCUUAAGGCAUCCUGGAAAAACGUAUGUAGCGCCACAUCGCGAAAAUCUCUCUUCUGGGACCCCUCUCCCAAAAACGUUUCUUCGCCCUCUUCUCCCCCUUCUGCCUCCACUCUUUCUGGACUUCAGAUAUCUUUGAGAAGCCUGGACAUCAAUCUGCUUUAGAAGACUAGAAACUCUGCCUUUAUGUCUUUAAGGGAACAAUAGUCCUUAACUUUGAUACUGUGGCUCUUUAGCUCUUUUUUUCCCUAUAUUUUUUAUAUAGUUUUUUGGUAUUAUUUAGACCUCCUUAACCCCACGGUCAUAAAGGUAUUCUCCCAUCAUUUUUUUCUAUCCAUUAGCUUCAUAGUUUUACUUUUUUACAUUCAGUUAUCUAAUCCAUCUGGAGUUCUCCUUCCCAUAUGGUGUGAGAUAGGGAUCUAACUAUAUUUUUCUCCAUGGGGUGAGCAAAUUUUCCAACAACCCAUGUCAAACAAUCCAUUCUUUCCAAAUUGGUUUGGGGAAGUUUCCAAAUAGACAUGAGUAUGUUCUGAGCUCUCUGGUUUGUUCAUGUGUCAGUACCACAAGGUUUUGUCACUGUGGGUUUUUAGUUAGUCAUCAUGCUUGAAGGGCAAGUUCCCCAUUCCAAAUUCUUCUGUGUUAAGAUUGCUUUGUCUAUCCACGGGCCUUUAUCCUCCCUUAUAAUGUUUAGAGUAAGUUUGUCAAGUUUAUGAGAACUGUGUUGGGUUGAUGAAUAAAUGCAAGGAAAACUGGCAA
rnacentral:lncRNA from 10 species